rnacentral:misc_RNA from 1 species
GCUAGUUAAGCAAUAAAAACAUCCUAGGCAAAACUCUAAGCUCCCAACCACACGAUGAAAGUUGUUAAUUUCCUUGUAGCUCUCGCAGUCUUGGCUUUGGCUUUCUCCUCUGCCAUUGCCUAUGAUCCCAGCCCUCUCCAAGACUUCUGUGUAGCAAGCAAUGGCACCGAUUCUGCUGUGUUUGUGAAUGGAAAAUUCUGCAAGGAUCCAAAUCAUGCGACGGCAGAUGAUUUCUUCUUUUCUGGACUUAAUGUGGCUGGAGACACCUCAAACCAACUUGGAGUGCAUAUCAAUAUCGUAGAUGCUGAUGUGAUCCCAGGACUUAAUACAAACGGUAUAACAUUAGUUCGUAUUGAUUAUGCAGCCAAUGGUGGCCUAAACCCACCACACAAUCACCCUCGGGCUGCCGAGUUACUUACAGUCUUGGAAGGAACAGUCUAUGCUGGUUUUGUCACAUCUAAUCCUGAUCAUCGCCUUUUCACCAAAGUUCUCAAGCCAGGAGAUGUGUUUCUAUUUCCAUUUGGGCUGAUUCACUUCCAGUUGAAUAUUGGAAAAACCCCAGCAGUUGCAUUGGCUGUAUUAACUAGCCAAAAUCCAGG